UACGGAGGGUGCAAGCGUUGCUCGGAAUUACUGGGCGUAAAGCGCGUGUAGGCGGUCUCGUAUGUCUGGUGUGAAAUCCCCGGGCUCAACCCGGGAAGUGCACUGGAAACUGCGAGACUAGAGUCCCGGAGAGGAAGGUGGAAUUCCAGGUGUAGCGGUGAAAUGCGUAGAUAUCUGGAAGAACACCGGUGGCGAAGGCGGCCUUCUGGACGGUGACUGACGCUGAGACGCGAAAGCGUGGGGAGCAAACAGG
rnacentral:rRNA from 1 species